GCGUCCGUAGCUCAAUUGAAUAGAGCACUCGAUUCCGAUUCGAGCGGUUACGGGUUUGAUUCCUGCCGGGCGCACCA
rnacentral:tRNA from 1 species